AAUAAUAAAAUAUUUUAUCAUUCUUAAUAUAACUUAAAUUAAAGAAUAACAAAAAUAUAUAUAUAUAGAAAUAAACACAUAUUUUUCAUAUCUACAAAUGAAAAAUAUUACAUAUAUAUAUAUAUAUAUAUAUUUAUGUGAUCAUUAAUUUGUAUAAUAUUAGGUUUACUCAAGGUUUUUAAUUAUAUGGUGGGUUAUAAUAGAAACACGUAAUAAUAUAUAAAAGGAUAUAUAAAUAAACAAAUAAAUAUAUAAACAUUUGUAUGUUUCGAUUUUAAUAACACGUGGUUGUUAUUAUUUAAUGAUGGGGGAAAAAAAAAAAAAAAAAAAAAAAAAAAACAUGACAACACACUAUAUAAUCCUUAUAUAAAAUAAGGAACUUUAAACACAGCAUUAAAAGUUACAAUAUAUCAAAUUUAUUUUUUAUGAUAUAUAUAUAUAUAUAAUUAAUUUUUAUAAAAAGAGACAAUAAUAUAUGUGUUCCACACAAUUGACGAUAUAAUAUUAUUGCUUAUUAUUUUUGAAUAAUAAUAAAAAAA